AGUACCUUAAAUGCUGGACAAAUUGGGAGGGCCUUGUGGCAUGACUGGCAGAAGUAGCACCACUAGUAAAAACAUUGCACUGUGUUAUACUCCAAAGUGUGCUGUGUGCCAAAUUGAGUGGGUAGUUGAAAGAUGUGAGGGAGACCAUGAUAAAAAUAAUCAGUUUAAUCAGUGCCUCCUCAAGUCUGCAGCACAGACUAUUUUGUGAGCUGGGUUCUGAGUCCUCUGCAAACGAUAAAGAUCUUCUUCUCCUCAGUGCAGUCUCAGUAAGGGCACAUCACUGGUACACAUCUGCAAGCCCAAGACUCAAGUUCUUGAUUUCCUUCAGCACAGCACUCACAAGAAAGCAGCUGAAUACCUGGCCCUUCUAGAAGAUACUGAAUUAAUGGUUAAAGUAGCAUUUUGUUGAUGUAUUUGGCCACCUGAAUACCUUGACUGUACAGCUGCUAGGCCAGAAGAAGAAAAUCGGUGACCUUGUCAAGAAGUUACAUCCAGCUUAUUCUGAAAAGCUUCUAUUUCUCUCUCAUUUUGAGCUUUGGGAAGCUUUUGCGCUUUGCUCAACUCUGCAGCCACUGAUGAGCACUGGAGGCAGAUGAUUUGAUCAGUCAUGGCAUGACAAGCUUCCUUCAACAGCUGAGACAACUUCAGCAUCUGAUUUGGAGACUUUUUUUUUUCUUUUUUCCCCAUGCCAAAGGUUGUAAUUGGCUUCAUAGGUGGUCAUUUCUCCAUACCACCUAAGGGAGACUUUGCAUCUCAUGCCUGUGAGGUUCUCUCCAUAAAAGACAUGGCCAUGCUACAGCUGGAACUAGUUGACUUGCAGACCUCUGAUGUGGUGAAGGGUGAAUUCAAGAACACAGAAAUUCAGACGCUAUCUGGAUAUAGAAAAGUAUCCAAACAUCAAACUCUCCUUCCUGGUACUCCCAAUGUUCGGAUCAAUGUAUUCAUGUGUGAUAACUGAAGGAGGGGGAGGUGGUAUCUCCCUUAUAGACACCCAGCCAGCCAGUUAGCUGUAAAAUCCCUCUUGGUGUGUUUUUUUUUUUUUUUUUUUUUUUUUUUUUUUUUUCCUGCUUGCUUUACCUGUAAGGGGUUAACAAGCCCACAGGUAACAGAGAAGGAGUGGGCACCUUGCCAAAAGAGCCAAUGGGAAGGCAGAACUUUUUAAAAUUGGGAAAGAAACUUUCCCUCUGUCUGCUGUUCUCCAGAGAAGGAGACACGGAGCAGCAAUGCUAUAAGCAGAAAUGCUGUGUAAGGCUUGAACCAGGAAUGUGUCUCCACCUUCUCAUCAGAAUCUCUGUGUUACCUGUCAGGCAUCAAACGGAAGAGUAAGGAAAGAGACAGUAUCAGGAAAUUAAAUGAUCAUUUCUAUACAAGCACCUCAAAGAAUUAAAACUUCCUGCCUGCAUUUAGAGAGAGAGAGAAAAAAAAAUGUCUUUCAUUGGAAUUAUGCAAAAUAAAAGCAUUCACUACUUUGAUUGCUAUGCUGCAAGUCUAGAGAAGCUGACAGUUUUGUUAUGGGCCUGCUUUAAAAAAUCCUGAUUUAGCAGAAGCAGGACAGGAAUGGAGGAAUAAGUAUUAUACUAUUAUUUAAUUAUGUUACUUUUAUUGGAAAAUCUCUCUAAUUACAUAUCAGUGACCUGUACAUUUAUAAUAAGUUUAAAGAAAACAAAAGAGAAGCCAUGUAAAUUUCAGCAAAGACAAACAGUUUGAGUGCUGGAUGUGAAAGCAGUCAUCCAAUGUGCAUGAACUGAUAAUGACUGAUGGUGAGAAGUGAAUUUUCUUUAGAAAAAUGAUUUGUGAAUUACAGGACCAGCUGAUGAAAGAACUUUACUGACCAAAGACAAUUAUUUUCUGUGACAACAGUAAAACCUAGAACCUUCAGCUGCAAAAAUCUCAGAUCUCUACCAUUACAGCUAAAGGACUUCGUGCCAGCUGUAGUAAUAUUAGGACUUACAUGUAGGGCAACCAUAUUUAAAUUUUUUUUUU